rnacentral:rRNA from 1 species
GCUGACGAGUGGCGGACGGGUGAGUAAUGUCUGGGAAACUGCCUGAUGGAGGGGGAUAACUACUGGAAACGGUGGCUAAUACCGCAUAACGUCGCAAGACCAAAGAGGGGGACCUUCGGGCCUCUUGCCAUCAGAUGUGCCCAGAUGGGAUUAGCUUGUUGGUGAGGUAACGGCUCACCAAGGCGACGAUCCCUAGCUGGUCUGAGAGGAUGACCAGCCACACUGGAACUGAGACACGGUCCAGACUCCUACGGGAGGCAGCAGUGGGGAAUAUUGCACAAUGGGCGCAAGCCUGAUGCAGCCAUGCCGCGUGUAUGAAGAAGGCCUUCGGGUUGUAAAGUACUUUCAGCGGGGAGGAAGGUGUUGUGGUUAAUAACCGCAGCAAUUGACGUUACCCGCAGAAGAAGCACCGGCUAACUCCGUGCCAGCAGCCGCGGUAAUACGGAGGGUGCAAGCGUUAAUCGGAAUUACUGGGCGUAAAGCGCACGCAGGCGGUCUGUCAAGUCGGAUGUGAAAUCCCCGGGCUCAACCUGGGAACUGCAUUCGAAACUGGCAGGCUUGAGUCUUGUAGAGGGGGGUAGAAUUCCAGGUGUAGCGGUGAAAUGCGUAGAGAUCUGGAGGAAUACCGGUGGCGAAGGCGGCCCCCUGGACAAAGACUGACGCUCAGGUGCGAAAGCGUGGGGAGCAAACAGGAUUAGAUACCCUGGUAGUCCACGCCGUAAACGAUGUCUACUUGGAGGUUGUGCCCUUGAGGCGUGGCUUCCGGAGCUAACGCGUUAAGUAGACCGCCUGGGGAGUACGGCCGCAAGGUUAAAACUCAAAUGAAUUGACGGGGGCCCGCACAAGCGGUGGAGCAUGUGGUUUAAUUCGAUGCAACGCGAAGAACCUUACCUGGUCUUGACAUCCACGGAAGUUUUCAGAGAUGGAAUGUGCCUUCGGGAACCGUGAGACAGGUGCUGCAUGGCUGUCGUCAGCUCGUGUUGUGAAAUGUUGGGUUAAGUCCCGCAACGAGCGCAACCCUUAUCCUUUGUUGCCAGCGGUCCGGCCGGGAACUCAAAGGAGACUGCCAGUGAUAAACUGGAGGAAGGUGGGGAUGACGUCAAGUCAUCAUGGCCCUUACGACCAGGGCUACACACGUGCUACAAUGGCGCAUACAAAGAGAAGCGACCUCGCGAGAGCAAGCGGACCUCAUAAAGUGCGUCGUAGUCCGGAUUGGAGUCUGCAACUCGACUCCAUGAAGUCGGAAUCGCUAGUAAUCGUGGAUCAGAAUGCCACGGUGAAUACGUUCCCGGGCCUUGUACACACCGCCCGUCACACCAUGGGAGUGGGUUGCAAAAGAAGUAGGUAGCUUAACCUUCGGGAGGGCGCUUACCACUUUGUGAUUCAUGACUGGGGUGAAGUCGUAACAAGGUAACCGUAGGGGAACCUGCGGUUGGAUCACCUCCUUACCUUAAAGAAGC